rnacentral:misc_RNA from 1 species
GUCAAGGAAAUAACUGCACGUAACCUGUCGCUAGUGCAAUUCCUAAAAUGACAAGGGGUGGAAGGAUGACAAAUGCUCCAAUUGUAGCAAAGAAAGUUGAGUCAUUCCUCCGAGAUACUUCAUUCAGGUAGGCUUGUCUUUUGAUGUUUCUCUUUUGUGAGGUAGUUAAGAACUUGGCGCUAAACUUCUUCAGAUUCUUACCCAAAGGAAUGCUGAAAUCAUCAUCUCGACUUCCAACCAAGUUAGCAAGCUGAUCACGAAUUGUAGGUUUACCAGAGGUACUAUCACUUUCAUAACCAUUUACUUCUGAACUGCUGGAAGUGAGCUGUUCCAAGAGAUCUAGCUGUGUUCGAGCAGAAGAUAAUGACCCAGAAUAAGUGGGAAGUUCUUCCUCCUUAGUGACUCUUCCAUCCCCUUGUUCAGAAAGAGCAGCUCUUCUUAAGGAAGAAUAAUAAAGUUUGUGUGUACAAGGAAUGAGAAAGCUUUUUGGUUGCACAAAGACAGAGCUCAAAUUCAAAGCCAUGUGUA